rnacentral:rRNA from 1 species
ACGGGGUGCAGCAGGCGCGAAAACUUUGCAAUGCGGGAAACCGUGACAAGGGAACUCUGAGUGCCCGUAAAUUCGGGCUGUCCGCCAGUGUAAAAAACUGGUGAAGAAAGGGCCGGGCAAGACCGGUGCCAGCCGCCGCGGUAAUACCGGCGGCUCGAGUGGUGGCCACUAUUACUGGGCUUAAAGCGUCCGUAGCCGGGUUGUUAAGUCUCCUGGGAAAUCCAACGGCUCAACCGUUGGGCGUUCAGGGGAUACUGGCAAUCUAGGGAUCGGGGGAGGUGAGAGGUACUCUAGGGGUAGGAGUGAAAUCCUGUAAUCCUCGGGGGACCACCUGUGGCGAAGGCGUCUCACCAGAACGGCUCCGACAGUGAGGGACGAAAGCUGGGGGAGCAAACCGGAUUAGAUACCCGGGUAGUCCUAGCCGUAAACGAUGUGGGCUGAAUGUUGCAGGAACCUUCGUGUUCCUGCAGUGUUGAAGGGAAACCGUUAAGCCCGCCGUCUGGGGAGUAUGGUCGCAAGGCUGAAACUUAAAGGAAUUGGCGGGGGAGCAC